UGGGUAGAGAGAGCGUGACGUCACAAAUGCGUGUUCAACAUGGUUGGCUCGAAAAACACGUGACUUAAGGACGAUUGCUGUUGUUGACAUAUCGCAUCGGGGCGAAAAUACGUGUUAUGUGCUAAUUUUUGAAAAUGGUUCUGUAUUGCUGUGCGUUUGGAUGCAAGUCAAUACAUCAUAAAGGAAGCCAGCUAAGUUUUCACAAUUUUAAUCUUUUUCAGUUUUCCGAAGGAUGAAAACCGUAGAAGGUUGUGGGAAAUCAAAGUAAGACGACAAGAUUUCAAAGAAACUUCGGCGACAAAAAUAUGUUCCAAACAUUUCGAAGAGGAGUGCUUCGAUAUAGUGAAGUUUGGUGGUACAUGGCUAAAGAACACUGCUGUUCCCACAAUUUUCGAUUUCCCUCCGCAUUUGCUUACCACUCUAAACCCGAGGAAACCAGUCAAACAGUUGUGUUGUAGAGGAAUGUCACGACACUAAUGGAAAGAGAAGUAAACAAGGUUAUGUCCGAGAUACGACAAAGGCGACAUACUCGUCCGAAAAGUAUGUGUCAACAGAGGCAGAAGGUGGCACCAGUUAUGUUUCUCCAAGAUACCAAUACAUUGGUGACUUAAAUGAACAGGAUAUUCAGUCUCCGAGGAAGGCCAAGAAGUUUCUUGCUAUUGUGAAAAAUGGACUAAAGAACCACAGAAAUAAGUGUAAUGCACUGAGGAUGAGAAAAAAAGACUUGUGAAGAAGUUUAUAAUUAAAACCACUACGAAAUUGCAAUGCAUUAAGCACUAGCCUUUACAUUAAUCAGUAAGUUCGGUCUAAAGUCAUAAUAUAACUUUUGCAUCACAGUAAUGCAACAGUUACACAAAGCAAUAUUAUUUUAUUUAUUUGUAUUACUUUCCAUAAAUCUAUUUGUAGUACAAGUCUCACUAGAUGUAGAAUAAAUCAAUUAUAAAAUUAUGCACAAUUCAUACAAAACUAAUUCACAGAUUCACACACACAAUACAAGGCAUAAACAAAACGUACACGUGGAAAUGGUGAACUGCGCUAUCACAUCUAUUCAAGGGCGCCCAUAGGAUGAAAAGGGGGGGGGGGGUGAGCAGACCUUCAAAAAGUGUCAAAAAUUACUAAAAUUUGCCAAAAAUCUUCAAAAACACCUAAUUUUUUUUCUUUUCCUGAAAGCCAUGGUGAGGGGGGCAUGGCCCUCGCCUGACCAUAGGUAUGGGCGCCCUUGUAUUUAUUACAGUGCAUUUUAAAGGAGCAAAAUUAUUCAAUAACCUACCGCAGAACAUUAAGGAAAUAAAAAUUUUUCAACAAUUUAAAAAAAAAGUUUUUAACUUGCUACUUCAAGAAUGCUACUACUCCACAGCAGACUAUCUAAAUAGAACAACCUUAACUUCCACUUUAUACCUACUUUAUUUUUGAUUAUUUAUAAAUACAAUUUCAAUGUUUACGAGAUACAGUACACUCCCGAUUAUCCGCGAAAUUAAGUGGCGGGGCCACAGCGGAUAGUGAAAAUCGCGGAUAAUCCGCAAAAGAGCCGAAAAAGGGAAACAAAAAAGGAAAUAUUAAUUUCAACUUAAUAUAUUAAAAAUUUAUUUACAGUAAAAGUUACAAUUUACAGAAAAAAUUAUAAAAUAAUGCUAAAAUUGUAGUAUUUAACUGAAUAAUUAACAUACAAUAAAUUUCACUGAUGUAAACAUAAAAGUGCUCGGUACUUACUUCGUAACAAGGAUACAGUACAUACUGUACGUACUCAGACACUUCAUUAGACAUUAAAAAGCACAACUCUUAAAAUUUACAACUUUUUGGAAAAAAAAAUCAGUCAGUUGCUUUUGUAUCUUGCUUUGGAAACAUCUUUUCUUAAUUCUUGAUUGAAUUUCCGCAACAUAAGUUUUUCAGCCAACUGCGCAUCGUCGUCUUGUUCCUCUAAAUAGUGAAGCAGUCUGACAAUGUGUUGCAAAGCCGCUUCGUGAGUCAUCUGCGCCUUCGCACUGGGCACAUCUGUUGCGUUUUACUGUAUACUGCACACAAUACACUCGUCAGUAGAGUUCAAAUUUGCUCACUUGUAAUAAAAUACAGAUUUACAUAUGUACUGUAUUUGUUUCGUAGCAUGCGCGGAUAAUAGGGAGUUUACUGUAAUUCGUAAUUCAUAUCUUGUACAAUAUUUGUCUCUACUGUAUUACUACUUUAACUUUAUGCAUGUAGUUAUGUUAAAAUAUGUUUUAAUUGUAUUGUAAAAUAUGUAAUUGUAACUGUACUACUACUGUUUAAAUUGUAGGGCCUAACUGUAUACAAUUGUAUUAUUGUAUCAAGCCUAUACUUCUACUUGUAUUAAUGUUUCUGCAACCAUUUUGUGUUAAACUUGUGUCAACUGUCAAAUUUAAAAUUUUAUCUUUAGAAGCUGUAUAUGUACCUGUAACACCAGUUUUAUUAUUUUUUUCCCAUGUCUGGAUUUUUGGUAUUUUUAACUUUUACUGUUUGUAUGUUAAAUUAUAUUUCUUGAUGUGUCCUAUACCAUUUGUGCAAAUGUCUGUAUGUUCAGAUGGACGAAAAUAAAUAAAUAAAUUAACAAUAAAUUAUUUUUAUAUAUACACACACACACACAACACAUCAG